GUCUGCUGAAGCAUCCAUGAACUCAACUGACUGUUUGGGCCUGACAGAAUAUGUGACUCUCACUACUUGUGAUUUGACUGUCCUGAAGCAAGAAGGUGAAAGGACCUUCUCCCCAAACCUGACGGAUACAGUGUCUGUCUCAAGCAGUUGAAGCAGUUGAAGCAUUUGAAGCAGUGAGACGAGUGAUCUGGGAUGUCAGAUAGAUCCUUUGAAUGGUAUCCUUGCAAAAAAUGUAAUUGUUUUUUAAAAAAGACUUUCUAAGUAAUCAGUGAUGCAAUUAUUCUACUCUGAAUAUAGGUUUGAUUAUAGGUUGUAAUAAUCUUUUUUAAUUUUUGUUUGUCUUUUAAAAUAUGUUGUUUUUUUUAGAAUGUGGAGAAAAUUCUCUCUUCAAAAGCAGCUGGUAUGUCUGUGAUUAAAGAGUAUAAGACGACUGGGACUUUGAAAGAUUCCACCCGGCGGUUAAUGGUUAACAUUAUUGUGGCUCACAUGCAUGAAAAAGAAGGGUAAGAUGCUUCAAGAAAAUAUUACCGUUUUUGUUUUAAAUGAGCUAAAAUUAUUAGAUGAACACCACUUUAACUCUUGCAGGAGAGUUGUUAGUGAAGCAACAAAGGAAUUCCGUGCCCUUGGAAUGGUGUCACUGUUCCCAUCUCUGAAGGACCCUUAAAGAUCCCUUAAAAGGGUUAUAACACUUCUAUGACAUUCAGAGCAACAAAGGCUUCCUUCAGUGGCGUGUGGAAACGUAAAUCCAGAACUAUGUCAACACUCCCGGAUAAAGUGGCGCCCACAGGAGGUCCUACAUCAUCAAGUUUGAAAGCAUGGACGACCCACGAAUGGGAGAUGAUUGCAUGGAAGCCAUGUCUCUCCUUCACCACACAACUGACCGUGACUUAGUGUUCCAGAAGAUGAGAGAAACCUUCUGCUACCGUCAGCAGAUCCUUCAUGAUCCAGAGCGCUCAGCUGAUUUACUACAAAUGUUUCCUCGUUUCUUGGAUGUCAAAGGACUGGUAAGUAGUAAA